rnacentral:piRNA from 1 species
UGCCACACAAGCAAUGGAGCAACACACUGGCU